AGUGUGUUGAAUACUCACAGCCACGUCUGGACUGGACCUGCCCUUUCGUGCUGCCAUAGUCCGGCACUUCGGCUGAAACCUGAGCCUGGUGUCCCCUCUCUCCCUCCUUGGUUAUCUACUCCACAGCUUUGAGAGAGCCAACAGGAUAUUUAAUACCAAGCCAUCUCCGGAAAGCAAAUGACUGCUGCCAAGUGCAGGGAGGGGGUCAGAGCUGCAGGUACCACCUCACGAACAGCAGAGGAAAAGCAGCCCCACAGAUACGCCCAGGAGCCUGGCAACUCACAGGUGGCUGCUAAAUCCUAUACACAGGCAUCAUGCUCUACAGACUUGCAGACAUCCAAGCUGUGAAGUGUCAGGAGGCUGCUGCCAGCAAUUCUGCAGGAGAGAAGCCUCAGAUCUGGACUUCGUUAAGUGCUUCAAGACCUUCUAAAGUCAAAAAACAUAGCACAGCACAUCAGGCUGUGCUUUUACUCCCCUUUCUUUUCCUUCAGGAAAAUAAAAUCUCCCCUUGUCUGCUGACAAUCUAUAUUUUUCCCUUUUCCUCUUUCCUGGUUUCAGAAUAAUUUUUUUCUCAUUACACCCUCUCCUGGCCCUGAGUAGAGGGUUCUUCUGUUCUUUUUCCUAGGUGUCCUGCUCUCAAAGCAUUAAUGCCAUUAGCCUGGAACCACAUGAGCAUAUUGCACUGUAGCCAUGGCCAAGGCAAUAAGCAAAGGGGAAGUCAAACCAGAGGCUCAGGCUGGAUCUCAAGGGCUGCAGUCAGAGGUUCAUAAGCCUGCUGUGUCUCUGGCUGCAGUCAGUGUCCUGCUCUAAUCUCUUCUGACAGUGCCUGCUCCCGCCCACACCCAGGGAGGAGCUCUCACCAGCUCCUGCUGCUCAUCACUGAUAAAAAAAGGGAGGGUAUCAGCAUUGCCUCCUCCUGUUAAAGGUAGCCACACUUAGCAGGAGCCCACUCUGUAUGAGCUGGUACAUGCUAUAAAUAGAUGAUUUCCAAGUACAAAUGAGUUCAGGGACUCGUGUUGGAUCUCACAGUGUUUUCUGGGACACAAAGACAGUCAAGAAGCAACUCACCACUCUAUUCCAGCCCGGCACACACGCCUCCUGCUGCAUUUCCCUCCUUACCCUGUCUGCCCACUUGUCUCUUCAGCCAAGCUGACACAGACUCGUGGAGCAGCACACAGGAGGUCCAGCAAGGAAACACCUGAAGGCUGGACAGCAACAGUCACUCCAAGAGCCAAAGAACCCCAGGAUUGGCAGUGAGAUGCAAACCCAAAUCCUGGCACCAAGCCAUAUACUGCCAUGGGCAUCCUGUCUAGAUACUCUGGAAAGGUCCAACUCACACCUCAGAGGUCAUUCAGUUACUUCCAGCUAUUACUGCCAGUGUCCUGGAACCUGAAGUCAGCUCUGGCAGCUGAGGACACAUGAUAAACCCUCGCCAAGGGCAAUAGCCAUUUUGCCAUUUGCUUGGACAUUUCCUUGCUCAUCUGGGCUUGUGUCAAACAGUGGGCAUGAUCCUCACCUUUGAGGCAUUAUUUCCAGCAGAAACACCACAACCUCACAUCAGUGUAGUGGUUGACCUUUAAGUAACUGUCCAACCUAGGAAUGUCUCUGGAGCCAAUGCUCAUUUGGACCUCUCUGCCUUGCAGAUAUCAAGUACACAGUUUUGCAGCUGAUAACCUCAAUCCUUUCUCAUCAGAUGAGAAGAAUUUGUCAGUCUUCAAAACACACUAAAAGAGCUGAUAAG